UACAGAGGGGGCAAGCGUUGUUCGGAAUUACUGGGCGUAAAGGGCGCGUAGGCGGCCUUCUAAGUCGAACGUGAAAUCCCCGGGCUCAACCCGGGAACUGCGUCCGAUACUGGAAGGCUUGAAUCCGGGAGAGGGAUGCGGAAUUCCAGGUGUAGCGGUGAAAUGCGUAGAGAUCGGGAGGAAUACCAGUGGCGAAGGCGGCCUUCUGGACUGACACUGACGCUGAGGCGCGAAAGCCAGGGGAGCAAACGGG
rnacentral:rRNA from 1 species